rnacentral:rRNA from 1 species
CGCUGGCGGCGUGCCUAACACAUGCAAGUCGAGCGGGAUUCAUUCGGUGGUAACACUGAUGAAGAUCUAGCGGCGAACGGGUGAGUAACACGUGAACAACCUGCCCCGAAGUCUGGGAUAACCCGAGGAAACUCGAGCUAAUACCGGAUACCCCCUACUGAUCGCAUGAUCGGUAGAGGAAAGAUUUAUUGCUUCGGGAGGGGUUCGCGGCCUAUCAGCUAGUUGGUGAGGUAAUGGCUCACCAAGGCAUCGACGGGUAGCUGGUCUGAGAGGACGAUCAGCCACACUGGGACUGAGACACGGCCCAGACUCCUACGGGAGGCAGCAGUGGGGAAUCUUGCGCAAUGGGCGAAAGCCUGACGCAGCAACGCCGCGUGCGAGAGGAAGGCCUUAGGGUCGUAAAUCGCUUUCGACAGGGACGAAAUUGACGGUACCUGUAGAAGAAGCCCCGGCCAACUACGUGCCAGCAGCCGCGGUAACACGUAGGGGGCGAGCGUUGUCCGGAUUUAUUGGGCGUAAAGAGCUCGUAGGCGGCUCAGUAAGUCUGCUGUGAAAGCUCCAGGCUUAACCUGGAGAGGCCAGUGGAUACUGCUAUGGCUAGAGUCCGGUAGGGGAGCGUGGAAUUCCCCAGUGUAGCGGUGGAAUGCGCAGAUAUUGGGAGGAACACCAGCGGCGAANGCGGCGCUCUGGGACCGGAACUGACGCUGAGGAGCGAAAGCAUGGGUAGCAAACAGGAUUAGAUACCCUGGUAGUCCAUGCCGUAAACGUUGGGCACUAGGUGUGGGAU